rnacentral:rRNA from 1 species
GACGAACGCUGGCGGCGUGCUUAACACAUGCAAGUCGAACGGUAAGGCCCUUCGGGGUACACGAGUGGCGAACGGGUGAGUAACACGUGGGUGAUCUGCCCUGCACUUCGGGAUAAGCCUGGGAAACUGGGUCUAAUACCGGUUAGGACCCUGGGAUGCAUGUCCUGGGGUGGAAAGCUUUUGCGGUGUGGGAUGGGCCCGCGGCCUAUCAGCUUGUUGGUGGGGUGAUGGCCUACCAAGGCGACGACGGGUAGCCGGCCUGAGAGGGUGACCGGCCACACUGGGACUGAGAUACGGCCCAGACUCCUACGGGAGGCAGCAGUGGGGAAUAUUGCACAAUGGGCGCAAGCCUGAUGCAGCGACGCCGCGUGAGGGAUGACGGCCUUCGGGUUGUAAACCUCUUUCAGCACCGACGAAGCGCAAGUGACGGUAGGUGCAGAAGAAGGACCGGCCAACUACGUGCCAGCAGCCGCGGUAA